rnacentral:rRNA from 1 species
AUUGAACGCUGGCAGCAGGCCUAAUACAUGCAAGUCGAGCGGGGUUUUCGGACCUAGCGGCGGACGGGUGAGUAAUGCGUAGGAAGCUACCCGAUAGAGGGGGAUACCAGUUGGAAACGACUGUUAAUACCGCAUAAUGUCUACGGACCAAAGUGUGGGACCUUCGGGCCACAUGCUAUCGGACGGGCCUACGUGGGAUUAGCUAGUUGGUGAGGUAAUGGCUCACCAAGGCGACGAUCCCUAGCUGGUUUGAGAGGAUGAUCAGCCACACUGGAACUGAGACACGGUCCAGACUCCUACGGGAGGCAGCAGUGGGGAAUAUUGGAUAAUGGGCGCAAGCCUGAUCCAGCCAUGCCGCGUGUGUGAAGAAGGCCUUCGGGUUGUAAAGCACUUUCAGUAAGGAGGAAGCGUUGAGUGUUAAUAGUACUCAGCGUUGACGUUACUUACAGAAGAAGCACCGGCUAACUCUGUGCCAGCCGCCGCAGUAACAC